UUAACAAGUUUGUAUAUAUAUUGUAUUUUCUAAAAGUUUGUUUACAAUGUGAACGUUAAAUCCUAGACAUAAUUUUUCUAAGUAUUCCAUUCGUAAAUCCAAGUUUUUCAUGAUGGGUGAUCACAGUGGUCGUAAUUAAGUAUAGUUGCACUGGGGAACGGAAUCAGCCCUAUUUUCAUAGCUUGUAGAUCGUUAGCUCAUGCAGCUUUAAGAUGGCGAUUCUUGAGGAAAAUAUAUGUAAUUCAUAACAGACUCAGAGAAAAAUAGGAAAAUCCGCUCCCAGCAACAACAAUCGUUACUACCCGACCACUUGAAGAACCAUAAAAGUCACGAUAUUUUGCUGCUUCACAUUGAAUGCCACACAGUUUGCAACAGCCAUGAAAACACUCUAAAGAAUGAUUUGUCAUUGAAGUGUGACACUCCUAUUGGUAUCUUUAUUAGAAUAGCAGUAAUAGAGGAUGUAAAAAAAAUUACUAUGAAGUAGAAAAGCUUGCACCAGAGAGCAUGGAUAUGGCCAAGAACUUCGAAGUCCAUGUGCCCAAUUCUGACUAUGUUCUACAUGUAUUAAAAGUAGUUCACUAUUUUGAAAAGGAGCAUCCUGGUGGAUUGUUGGCAUCGGAACACCUUAGGUGGGGCAUCACUAAAGCAAUCGACUGAUGAUGAAGGGUAUGGCACCUGUUCGCUAGCAAAUCGAUAAUAAAUAGACAACGUCUUCACAUGUGUGAAAACUCCUCUUUGCUCUGCCAUUCACAUUGUCCACAAGAUUGCAGAAGACGAAUGGUCCUACUUGGAAAAGGAUCUAAUCGAGCACUUAAUAUGCAACCGCUGACUGAACGUUGUGGAAGGAAGCCAACGGAAUUCAUUGCCAAAGGUACCAAGAGACCUCUGCACAGCUUAGUUAACUAUGGAAGCAUGCAGUUACGAGUUGGCUGCCAAUUUUGCGCCAGAAACGGAGAGCUUCGUAGUGUGGCACUUAACCUUCGUUGGUUAUUGCAGUUGGAUUGAAAAAUGUGUAAUUUCGAAUUAUUUAGGUAGAGAUUCAUACGUUGCGCCAUCCGGUCACGCGUGCCAUCCUUUGUCCGGCACUGCGCAAGUAUGCUUGUGAAAUGCACGGAGCUACAGGAGACAAUGCGCAUACCAAAUUUUACUGCCCCAAUAAUCGCAGCCAAAAGGCGGCGCCUACGGCCAUCUUAAAACUACUCGCCACAAUGCAACUGGUAAACGGACUAAUAUGUAACACGAUGGAGACUUCUUCAAAGAUUCGAUUGAUUGCCCGUUUUGGCAAUUAAAACUACACGGCUUGCAUUAUUUUUCACUUCGAUGUGCUUUUCAUGAAAUUUAGAAAAAUUAGUCGUAAAGACUUCAAUGAGUGCAAUCGUGCUUGUGCUGCCAAAUCGUACG